rnacentral:rRNA from 1 species
UACGUAGGGGGCAAGCGUUGUCCGGAUUUAUUGGGCGUAAAGAGCGUGUAGGCGGCCAAGCAGGUCCGCUGUGAAAACUCGAGGCUCAACCUCGAGACGUCGGUGGAAACCGUUUGGCUAGAGUCCGGAAGAGGAGAGUGGAAUUCCCGGUGUAGCGGUGAAAUGCGCAGAUAUCGGGAAGAACACCCGUGGCGAAGGCGGCUCUCUGGGACGGUACUGACGCUGAGACGCGAAAGCGUGGGGG